rnacentral:rRNA from 1 species
AUUGAACGCUGGCGGCAUGCUUUACACAUGCAAGUCGAACGGCAGCACGGGUGCUUGCACCUGGUGGCGAGUGGCGGACGGGUGAGUAAUGCAUCGGAACGUGUCCUGAAGUGGGGGAUAACGCAUCGAAAGAUGUGCUAAUACCGCAUAUUCUCUGAGGAGGAAAGUAGGGGAUCGAAAGACCUUAUGCUUUUGGAGCGGCCGAUGUCUGAUUAGCUAGUUGGUAGGGUAAUGGCUUACCAAGGCGACGAUCAGUAGUUGGUCUGAGAGGACGACCAGCCACACUGGGACUGAGACACGGCCCAGACUCCUACGGGAGGCAGCAGUGGGGAAUUUUGGACAAUGGGCGCAAGCCUGAUCCAGCAAUGCCGCGUGAGUGAAGAAGGCC